rnacentral:rRNA from 1 species
GUGGGGAAUCUUGCGCAAUGGGCGAAAGCCUGACGCAGCCAUGCCGCGUGAAUGAUGAAGGUCUUAGGAUUGUAAAAUUCUUUCACCGGGGACGAUAAUGACGGUACCCGGAGAAGAAGCUCCGGCUAACUUCGUGCCAGCAGCCGCGGUAAUACGAAGGGGGCUAGCGUUGCUCGGAAUUACUGGGCGUAAAGGGCGCGUAGGCGGACAGCUUAGUCAGAGGUGAAAGCCCAGGGCUCAACCUUGGAAUUGCCUUUGAUACUGGCUGUCUUGAGUUUGGGAGAGGUGAGUGGAACUCCGAGUGUAGAGGUGAAAUUCGUAGAUAUUCGGAAGAACACCAGUAGCGAAGGCGACUCACUGGCCCAAUACUGACGCUGAGGCGCGAAAGCGUGGGGAGCAAACAGGAUUAGAAACCCGAGUAGUCC